rnacentral:tRNA from 1 species
GUGGGUAUAGCUUAGUGGUAGAGCACAUGCUUAGCAUGCAUGAGGUCCUGGGUGCAAUCCCCAGUCCCUCCA